CAUGCGACUCAUUGUAGCAAUACAAGGCAGACGGCUCAGUAACGCGUAGUCAACCUAACCUAUGGACGGGAAUAACCUCGGGAAACUGAGAAUAAUGCCCGAUAGAACACUAUGCCUGGAAUGGUUUGUGUUCCAAAUGAUUUAUCGCCGUAGGAUGGGACUGCGGCCUAUCAGUUUGUUGGUGAGGUAAUGGCCCACCAAGACUAUUACAGGUACGGGCUCUGAGAGGAGUAGCCCGGAGAUGGGUACUGAGACACGGACCCAGGCCCUAUGGGGCGCAGCAGGCGAGAAAACUUUGCAAUGUGCGAAAGCACGACAAGGUUAAUCCGAGUGGUUUGUGCUAAACAGACCUUUUGUUAGUCCUAGAAACACUAACGAAUAAGGGGUGGGCAAGUUCUGGUGUCAGCCGCCGCGGUAAAACCAGCACCUCAAGUGGUCAGGAUGAUUAUUGGGCCUAAAGCAUCCGUAGCCGGCUCUGUAAGUUUUCGGUUAAAUCUGUAUGCUCAACAUACAGGCUGCCGGGAAUACUGC
rnacentral:rRNA from 2 species